ACAGAAAAAAUCGGGGGUUCAAAGAAGCAACUCCACUUGUUCUCCUCGUUCCUUCCACUCAAUCGCGCGCCCUAUCUCAUCGCCGUCGCCGAAAUAGGUACGUUUUCCUUCCACAUUCUUCAUCGAUUGCGCGCGGUUGGCUUUUGCUUCGUCGGACUCCCUCCAGAUCUAGGGUUUGCUCUCUUUGCCGAUCUGUUUACUUUUUGGUUCCUGGGAAAUUAAGGGAUUACUCUAUCAUCUGCUGUUCUUUAAUUUUCCUGGAAACUACAAGGAUUAAUCUUCGUUUUUAUGUUCUGUGUUCGCCCUAACAACUAUCAGGAAAUUACUGGCGGAACUCAAUCUUCUUCAAACGAGCGAGGAAUUUCUUGUUGGGAAUUGGGUAUUUGAACGUUUGAGAUUUUAUACACAUUGAUUUGUUUGGGUAAAGUUUGGUGUGUUGUUAUUGGAAUUUCUUCCAUCUAUCCAAGGUAUUAGAAUGGUGGUGUGAAUUUUGAUGUCGUGGAGGCCUUGGUGGGUUGAUUUGAUUUAGUUUUUCUUUUGGGGGGGAAUUUAAGGGUUUAAUAUCUGCGCAAACCUAAUAAUCGAGGAGAAUUAGGUUUGAUGGCUGAUCGUAAUUUGGUUGUCGCAAAACCAAUCUGGAUGAAGCAGGCUGAAGAGGCUAAACUUAAGAGCGAAGCUGAGAAAGAUGCAGCGGCUAAAGCUGCUUUCGAAGCUACUUUUAAAGGCGUAGAUAAGAUUCCUGCAAAAGAAGCAGCAUCCUCAGAUAGUGAUUUUGAAGAUAAUGAGGAUUUGGAACGCAAGCCAAUUGGGCCUGUGGACCCUGCUAGAUGCACAGCAGCUGGAGCAGGCAUAGCUGGUGGUGCCGCGUGUGUGCCAGCAUCCUUUACUGUGGUAACCAAGGAUGUCGAUGGAAGGAAAGUUCCCCAUGGUGGUGCACUAAUUAAAGUAAAGGUGGCUCCUGGCGUAGGUGUUGGUGGAACCGAGCAAGAUGGCAUUGUGAAGGAUAUGAAUGAUGGUACAUAUACGAUCACUUAUGUGGUGCCAAAAAGAGGAAAUUACAUGGUUAAUAUUGAGUGCAACGGAAGACCCAUCAUGGGUAGUCCAUUCCCAGUGUUCUUUAGUGCAGGGACAAGUUCAGGUGGACUCCUGGGAUUAGCUCCGGCAUCCUCAUUUCCAAAUUUGGUGAAUCAAAAUAUGCCCAAUAUGCCUAAUUACUCCGGGUCUGUUUCGGGAGCAUUUCCUGGGCUGAUGGGAAUGAUUCCUGGCAUUGUAGCUGGUGCUUCUGGUGGUGCUAUCUUGCCUGGAAUUGGAGCAUCUCUUGGAGAAGUAUGUCGAGAAUACCUUAAUGGUCAGUGCGCGAAAACAGAUUGCAAGUUAAAUCAUCCACCUCACAAUUUGCUCAUGACUGCAAUAGCUGCAACAACCAGUAUGGGAACUAUCAGUCAAGUGCCUAUGGCCCCUUCUGCUGCUGCUAUGGCAGCUGCUCAGGCUAUUGUUGCUGCCCAAGCCCUUCAAGCCCAUGCUGCUCAAGUGCAAGCUCAGCAAGCUCAGUCUGCAAAAGACUCUUCUGGUUCAUCUGACAAAUCUGGAAAGGCUGCUGAUGCACUGAAGAGAACACUGCAAGUUAGCAAUCUUAGCCCACUUCUCACCGUGGAACAACUGAAGCAGCUUUUUAGUUUUUGUGGAACUGUUGUUGAAUGUACCAUUACUGAUUCAAAGCAUUUUGCUUACAUAGAAUACUCAAAGCCCGAAGAAGCUACUGCAGCUUUGGCAUUGAACAAUAUGGAUGUUGGAGGUCGACCUUUAAAUGUAGAGAUGGCAAAGUCACUUCCACAGAAACCAGCUGCCGCGAACCCUUCACUUGCUUCAUCUUCUCUGCCCAUGAUGAUGCAGCAAGCUGUAGCCAUGCAACAAAUGCAAUUCCAGCAGGCUUUGUUGAUGCAGCAAACUAUGACAGCUCAGCAGGCUGCUAAUCGUGCAGCAACUAUGAAGUCUGCAACAGAGUUGGCAGCAGCUAGAGCAGCAGAAAUAAGCAAAAAACUUAAAGUUGAUGGAAUUGGGAAUGAAGAAACUGAGACAAAAGAAAAAUCAAGAUCGCCUUCCUUGCCCAGGGAGAGGUCAAAAUCCAAAUCAAAAUCACCUAUCAAGUACCGAAGCAGGCGGAGGUCUCCAACUUAUUCACCUCCGUAUCGUCACUCAAGAGAUCAUAGAUCUAGAUCACCAGUGAGAUCUCGCCACUAUUCUAGGUACGAAGACGAUAGGAGGGGUUAUAGAGAAUCGAGAGAAGCGAGUGAAAGAUCUAGAAGGCGUGAUCUAGAUAGAUCAAGAAGUCGUCGUUCACCCAUCUCAAGGAAAAAUAGAAGUAGAAGCAUAAGUCCUCGCAGAAGAAAAUCAUACAGAGCAGGUUCUGAUUCUCCUAGUCACCAACGGGAGCGUUCACCACAAAGAGGUAGGAAAUCAGAUCAUUCUGAUUUAAGGUCACCUAUUCGCCAUCAUGGGAAAAGCAGAUCAUCCCCAAGAAAGGAUGACAGUGACAAACUAAAACAUAGAAGACGGUCAAGGUCUAAAUCUGUCGAGACGAAGCAUCAUUCUGAUGAAAAAAUUAAUGAAAUGCAACAUGGAAAAUUGAAAAAUCGGGAAAGAAGGCGAUCAAGAUCUGCUUCUCUGGAAGACAAGCAUAGUAAAAGAAGACCCUCGCCUAGAAGCCUGGACAAAAACAUUUCUAAACAUAGAAGGCGUUCUAGAUCAAACUCUAGGGAAAAGGUUGAUGAUAAAUAUCAUGGUAGAAGGCGUUCGCGGUCAAGUUCUUCAGAUAGCAAACAUCUCCCUGAUAGUAAGGUGGAUAGCACUAGAUAUGAAAAACUGAAAAAUCGUAGCAGAAGAAGAUCCAGGUCAAAGUCUGUAGAUGGUAAGCAUCGCAGGAGGGAGAAAUCAGAUAGAAGCAGAGACAAAAGGUUGAGGCAUCGUGAUAGAAGGUCAUCCAGAUCUAUAUCUCCUGAGGCUGGACAUCAACGAGUGACCAGGCUGUCUCCUACCAGUUCUGAUGAAACCAAAUCAAAACGUAGAAGGAGAUCACUCUCUCCUGAAGAUAAGCCUAGUGAUAUAGAUAAUGGAUGCAUAGCUGAAAAUCCAAAGAAUCUUGGGAGACAGCAGUCUAGAUCAAAUUCAAUUUCAGGAGAAAAUGGUGAAAGUAAUUUAUCUCCAAGUACAGAGGAAAAUGAAUUUAAACAUGGUGAGCAGUCAAUACUAGAACCUCUAGGAGGGCAUGGAUCUAGUCUCUCAAAGGUUAUAGAAGAUAUACCAGGAGAUGAUAAGGGUAGAGAAGGGUUAACUUCCCAAUAUUCUAAUGUUGAGGAACCAAACAAAACCGAAGUGGCUGGUGUUGAGCAAGUUGAUUUAGCUGGAAGUUAGAGUUUAAUGGAGGUUGUAAUUUUGCAAGUUCUCCUUGGAUAAUGCUGACAGAAGAGGCUCAAUAUCACCUUAAUACAGAUGCAAUUUCUGGUGAUUGACGUUCAGGAGAUGAAGUUACAUUCAAAAUUUGUCAUGGAAAUGCUUUACUGUAACUCAUGAAUCACAUGAUUAGAAGACUGUUGCGGACUUGAAUACCUUGAUAACCUAGGACAAAUUUCAGGCUGGCUUGUUGGCGCAUUCAAGGGCACCCAUUGCUUCAUUUGAGAAAGGACUACUUGAUUGAAGAUUUGUUUCCAUUUCUUUGGGUGCUCAGAAAAUUCUGAUUUUUAGUUUUCAUCCAGCUCUUUUGUCUUUGGUUAUCUUUUGCAGGUUGGCAGGCUAUAGUCUCUUAGACUCUUUCAGUUGAUGUUGGUCUGCUUUAAGCGUUUGAAGUAUUGCUGUCCUUUUGUCUACGAGACAAGACACCCUGAAUCUGUAUCGAGCUUCUUUUACUACUUGAUGUUAUUCGGGGUGAUUGUCAUUGGAGGUUUGUCAGGGUUGAUUUUCUCUUGUUUACACGAAGGCAAAGGUAUCAUUAAAGGUCGGUUGAAACCAGAUGUUGCUGAGAUAAAUUGCAUCAAAAUUUCCUCCUUCUGGGUAUGAUCAGAAUGGCUGACUCACUUGGAAGCAUUUUAUUCACGGUGAAUUGCAAAUAUAUAUAUGGCAGGUAAUCUUGUAUGCAACUGCUUGGUUGAAGAUAUUUAUAGGGGAAUCUAUAGGUUUGGACUCCAUUAUUUUGGUGGAUUUGUUCAUAAAAAUAAAAUAAAAUAAAAUAAGCGGUAUAUGAUCAAAGUGAACCUUUUACUCACAAUGGUGACUUCUUUGAGGGGAUAGGAAAGUGCAUGUUGGACAAUGAGUCUACGAUGCUACUCUUAAUGGCUACAGGUUUUCUUUUCUUUUAAUAACUUCUUUUGUAGCUCUGAUGUCUUUGACUAAUAAAUAGUACUCCUGAGUUUAAAAAGUAACCAUCCUGAUCCAUGAAAUUGAUUGUUGAUUGUUUGUGGGAGAAUAUUAGUAUAAGCUACACAAAUGGUGUAUCUGAUUGCUGGUUGCUUGUAGUGUAGUAGUGAUAGAUAUUGGUUUGGGUAAUAACAUAAUGUUUAGUCAUUUUCUCUCCUCCCACUCCACUUCUCCUGGUCUUUCCUUUUCAAGUAAUUUCUUGGUAGGAUAACCUGCAAAACGACGGUAUGAGAGCUGCAGUCUUUGAUUUCGAACUCGGGUUGCGACUUGGAUGAGGUGGAUGUCAAUGUCUUAGUUUGUGCUCGGUCUAAUGUUUCUGAAGGAACUGAGAACCAAGCUAUAGUGUGUUGAACCUCACAGCUUGUGUCUUCAUCAUGUUUAUGUCAACCUGGCUAGGAUAGGUUAGAAUUUUUUGCAUCAAUUUUGAAUAGUUGGGAUUAAAGAAAUCCAGAUUCUUUCUUGUUCUGGAUUGAUUAAAUUUGAGAUUUAUAAACUAGUUUUCAUUUUACAUUUAAUUUCUUAAAGCAAUGUUUAGCUUCA